rnacentral:rRNA from 1 species
AGCGAACGCUGGCGGCAGGCCUAACACAUGCAAGUCGAACGGAUCCUUCGGGAUUAGUGGCGGACGGGUGAGUAACACGUGGGAACGUGCCCUUUGGUUCGGAACAACUCAGGGAAACUUCAGCUACUACCGGAUGUGCCCUUCGGGGGAAAGAUUUAUCGCCAUUGGAGCGGCCCGCGUCUGAUUAGCUAGUUGGUGAGGUAAAGGCUCACCAAGGCGACGAUCAGUAGCUGGUCUGAGAGGAUGAUCAGCCACAUUGGGACUGAGACACGGCCCAAACUCCUACGGGAGGCAGCAGUGGGGAAUCUUGCGCAAUGGGCGAAAGCCUGACGCAGCCAUGCCGCGUGAAUGAUGAAGGUCUUAGGAUUGUAAAAUUCUUUCACCGGGGACGAUAAUGACGGUACCCGGAGAAGAAGCCCCGGCUAACUUCGUGCCAGCAGCCGCCGUAAAAC